rnacentral:rRNA from 1 species
UACGUAGGGGGCUAGCGUUGUCCGGAAUCAUUGGGCGUAAAGCGCGCGUAGGCGGCCCGGUAAGUCCGCUGUGAAAGUCCAGGGCUCAACCCUGGAAAGCCGGUGGAUACUGCCGGGCUAGAGUCCGGGAGAGGCGAGUGGAAUUCCUGGUGUAGCGGUGAAAUGCGCAGAUAUCAGGAAGAAUAUCCGUGGCGAAGGCGGCUCUCUGGGACGGUACUGACGCUGAGACGCGAAAGCGUGGGGAGCGAACAGG